rnacentral:rRNA from 1 species
UGUCGUGAGAUGUUGGGUUAAGUCCCGCAACGAGCGCAACCCUUAUCAUUAGUUUGCUAACAAUUCAGUUGAGAAACUCUAAUGAGACUGCCAGUGAUAAACUGGAGGAAGGUGGGGAUGACGUCAAAUCAUCAUGCCCCUUAUGACCUAGCUACACACGUGCUACAAUGGCCGGUACAAAGAGUUGCGAAACUGUGAAGUUAAGCUAAUCUCAUAAAGCCGGUCUCAGUUCGGAUUGUAGUCUGCAACUCGACUACAUGAAGUCGGAAUCGCUAGUAAUCGCGAAUCAGAAUGUCGCGGUGAAUACGUUCUCGAGUCUU